rnacentral:rRNA from 1 species
AUGCAGUCGACGGUACAGGUCUUCGGAUGCUGACGAGUGGCGAACGGGUGAGUAAUACAUCGGAACGUGCCCAGUCGUGGGGGAUAACUACGCGAAAGCGUAGCUAAUACCGCAUACGAUCUAUGGAUGAAAGCGGGGGAUCGCAAGACCUCGCGCGAUUGGAGCGGCCGAUGGCAGAUUAGGUAGUUGGUGGGGUAAAGGCUCACCAAGCCGACGAUCUGUAGCUGGUCUGAGAGGACGACCAGCCACACUGGGACUGAGACACGGCCCAGACUCCUACGGGAGGCAGCAGUGGGGAAUUUUGGACAAUGGGCGCAAGCCUGAUCCAGCCAUGCCGCGUGCAGGAUGAAGGCCUUCGGGUUGUAAACUGCUUUUGUACGGAACGAAAAGUCUCUUUCUAAUAAAGAGGGAUCAUGACGGUACCGUAAGAAUAAGCACCGGCUAACUACGUGCCAGCAGCCGCGGUAAUACGUAGGGUGCAAGCGUUAAUCGGAAUUACUGGGCGUAAAGCGUGCGCAGGCGGUGAUGUAAGACAGUUGUGAAAUCCCCGGGCUCAACCUGGGAACUGCAUCUGUGACUGCAUCGCUGGAGUGCGGCAGAGGGGGAUGGAAUUCCGCGUGUAGCAGUGAAAUGCGUAGAUAUGCGGAGGAACACCGAUGGCGAAGGCAAUCCCCUGGGCCUGCACUGACGCUCAUGCACGAAAGCGUGGGGAGCAACAGGAUUAGAUACCCUGGUAGUCCACGCCCUAACGAUGUCAACUGGUGUUGGGAAUUCACUUCUCAGUACGAAGCUAACGCGUGAAGUGACGCUGGGGAGUACGCGCAGUGAACUCAAGAU